AUUCACCUUGUUUUUAGCUACUGCGAAAUCGAGAUUAUUGAAUAAACAGAAUGCAUUAGGCAGUGAAAUGGUUUUGCAGCGUACCGAAGAAGAAUUUUAAUUAACAAACAUGUAGAUACCUACCUUUUGAGAAUAAAUUUUUUUUUCAAAUUA